AAAACGACUCUCGGCAACGGAUAUCUCGGCUCUCGCAUCGAUGAAGAACGUAGCGAAAUGCGAUACUUGGUGUGAAUUGCAGAAUCCCGUGAAUCAUCGAGUCUUUGAACGCAAGUUGCGCCCGACGCCAUUCGGCCGAGGGCACGUCUGCCUGGGCGUCAC
rnacentral:rRNA from 1 species